CUUGUACUCCCUCCGUCCGAAAAUACUUGCAUUGAAAUGGAUAUAUCUAGAUGUAUUUUACUUCUAGACACAUCCAUUUUGAUGACAAGUAAUUCCGGACGGAGGGAGUACUUG
rfam:Triticum aestivum genome assembly, contig: Triticum_aestivum_CS42_TGACv1_scaffold_282528_3DS